rnacentral:misc_RNA from 1 species
GAAAUGCGAUAAGUAGUGUGAAUUGCAGAAUUCAGUGAAUCAUCGAAUCUUUGAACGCACAUUGCGCCCCUUGGUAUUCCAUGGGGCAUGCCUGUUCGAGCGUCAUUUGUACCCUCAAGCUUUGCUUGGUGUUGGGCGGCUUGUCGGAAUAUCCGACUCGCCUUAAAUACAUUGGCAGCCGGCACUUUGGCCUAGGAGCGCAGCACAUUUUGCGAUCGUAAGCCGUUGUGACAGCAUCCAUAAGAUUUAUUUUACCACGUUUGACCUCGGAUCAGGUAGGGAUACCCGCUGAACUUAAGC